AAGGGUGUGGCUCAGAGGUAGAGUGUGAGCUUAGCAUGCAUGAGGUCCUGGGUUCAAUCCCCAGUGCCUCUG
rnacentral:tRNA from 1 species